rnacentral:lncRNA from 1 species
CUAGCACCUUGUAGGCCUCGCUCCUCAGCUUUGGAUCUGAAAUUCUUCUUCAAUAUCUCAAAGAAUUAGGGCAACAACAUGAACCGUUCGCACUGAACUGAAAGGAUUUGAUCUGGACCACCAAGAAGAGGAAAAAGACCCCUCUUCUUCUUUUCCUCUCUCUCACUUAUUUCUCCCUCUCUCUCAAAUCUGAUCUCAUCAGAUGAUAGGUGUAGACAUGAAAGGAAGAAGGAAGAAGGUGGGC